ACGAAGGGGGCUAGCGUUGCUCGGAAUCACUGGGCGUAAAGGGCGCGUAGGCGGACUUUUAAGUCGGAGGUGAAAGCCCAGGGCUCAACCCUGGAAUUGCCUUCGAUACUGGGAGUCUUGAGUUCGGAAGAGGUUGGUGGAACUGCGAGUGUAGAGGUGAAAUUCGUAGAUAUUCGCAAGAACACCGGUGGCGAAGGCGGCCAACUGGUCCGAAACUGACGCUGAGGCGCGAAAGCGUGGGGAGCAAACAG
rnacentral:rRNA from 2 species